rnacentral:rRNA from 1 species
CGGCCCAGACUCCUACGGGAGGCAGCAGUGGGGAAUUUUGGACAAUGGGCGCAAGCCUGAUCCAGCCAUGCCGCGUGUGUGAAGAAGGUCUUCGGAUUGUAAAGCACUUUAAGUUGGGAGGAAGGGCAGCUAAUUAAUACUUCGCUGUUUUGACGUUACCGACAGAAUAAGCACCGGCUAACUCUGUGCCAGCAGCCGCGGUAAUACAGAGGGUGCAAGCGUUAAUCGGAAUUACUGGGCGUAAAGCGCGCGUAGGUGGUUUGAUAAGCGAGAUGUGAAAGCCCCGGGCUUAACCUGGGAACGGCAUUUCGAACUGUCAGGCUAGAGUAUGGUAGAGGGUAGUGGAAUUUCCUGUGUAGCGGUGAAAUGCGUAGAUAUAGGAUGGAACACCAGUGGCGAAGGCGACUAACUGGACUGAUACUGACGCUGAGGUGCGAAAGUGUGGGGAGCAA